UACGGAGGGGGCAAGCGUUAUUCGGAAUCAUUGGGCGUAAAGGGCGCGUAGGCGGCUUGGCAAGUCGAAGGUGAAAUCCCCCGGCUCAACCGGGGAACUGCCUUCGAAACUGCCAGGCUAGAGUCCGGGAGAGGGUAGUGGAAUUCCCAGUGUAGCGGUGAAAUGCGUAGAUACUGGGAGGAACACCAGUGGCGAAGGCGGCUACCUGGACCGGAACUGACGCUGAGGCGCGAAAGCGUGGGGAGCAAACAGGAUUAGAUACCCUGGUAGUCCACGCUGUAAACGAUGGGCACUCGGUGCUGCGGGUAUCGACCCCUGCGGUGCCUUAGCUAACGCGUUAAGUGCCCCGCCUGGGGAGUACGGUCGCAAGGCUGAA
rnacentral:rRNA from 1 species